GCUCGUAGUUGGAUUUGUGAUAGAAUCUGAGUGCCAUUUUUGGCUGCUUGGAAACUGUCAUCUGUAGGUGGAAUCUGUUUGGCAUUAGGUUGUCAGGCAGAGGAUGCCUAUCCUUUACUGUGAAAAAAUCAGUGCGUUCAAAGCAGACUUAUGUCGUUGAAUGUAUUAGCAUGGAAUAAUAAGAUAGGACCUUUGUACUAUUUUGUUGGUUUGUGUAUUUAGGUAAUGAUUAAAAGGAACAGUUGGGGGUAUUUGUAUUCCAUUGUCAGAGGUGAAAUUCUUGGAUUUUUGGAAGACAAACUACUGCGAAAGCAU
rnacentral:rRNA from 2 species